AAGUAAGACCUAUAUAAGCUAGGAAGCUGGCAACGGGGGCACUGCAGGCAUUCCCUGGGAGAAGAGAAGGUGUAUUCAGGAGUAUAGAGGGUAGUGCGUGGGUGCUCCCUGGGAGGAGGGAGGCUGACGGGGCGGAGCCAAGAAGGUGGGAGACAGUUCAGGGGAACAGUAGCAAGGAAUAGGAAUGCAGACCUUGGCUGCUGACUAGCGGCCCCUAAGACAGGACCCGGAGUAGAGGGUGGGCCUGGGUCCCCCUACCGGCUGCUGACCAAGUGGCACCAGCCCGGCAGUGAGCAGGAAGACUGCCUGAGCCCAUCUGUCAAGAGGGACUUUGUUACCCCUGGAAAGGGGAACAUGGGGUGACUCCGGCUGGAGGAGAGGCUGUGGUUCCUGGAGCAAGAGGGGCCUGUGGGAUGGGUAAGACAACACUGGAGGAGGGUGCAAUGCCUGGUCAGAUCUAAUCCCCAGAGCGCCCUGGCGGUGGCGCCACCAGUGAACUGUGAAAUGGGAAAGGAAAGGUCGUACUUCCAUCUGGGUGUGAUGAAGAUUAAUUCAGGAUUGGGCAGUGCUUUCAAUACGAAGUCAUGACCAUUCCGUCCCAUGACAGCAGCAACCACUCUUCUGAAAAAAGAAAUUGAUUAAAAGAAGCCAGAAGAUAAGACUUUUCAGAUGGAACCACUGGGAAGGGAGAGAAGAACAUUAGCAUUGUAGCCUGAGCUUUUCCGGUAUCCUAACUGAGACCUUUAUUCGUCCAUCUUACAUGUUCUGCUGUUCCUGGCUGGUGGCUGUAUGAAACCUACCAAGACAUCCGUAAGGGAGUUACGAGUGAUUCUCCUUGUAUUUAACAGUAGGUUUAUUAUUUGAUUGGCUUAUUUUUCUGGCUUGUUUUUAUUUUUUGUUUAUAUGUUGUAACACAACAUGGAGUAGUUGCAAAGAGAUGUAUACAACUGUAUUCUAGGCCAAAUGCAAGAUAUUCAGGAUAGGACUAUUUUGUUCCAUUUAGCGAAAAAGCAUCCCAUUUUGCAAAACCAUUUUAUUCUGCAGCACCAUCCUUUUCCCACCCGAAUCUUUAUCUUGACAAUAUACAGUCACUUACACGUCCAUGCUUACAGAUGUAAUCAAACAAUUCGCCACCAGAUACAUAUUCCAUUACCAUGAAAAAAUCCGUUGGAGUGCUGAUGACCUGGUAUCUUCAAAAACAAAAGAGAGAAUUUAGAAAGACUUGAUUAGUAACAACAGAGCAAGGUUUUUAAACAGUUUACUAUUAUAACUUCUUCUGUAAAAUAAACAUUUGUUUUGAUCUUGUGUAUAAACUUGCUUUCUAUAUAUGAAAAGCAAUUGCUUAUAUUUCGAGAUGCAAACAAAUAUAAUCUCUUUCAAUGGUCUGUUGAAAGCAUCUGUUUCACAAAUUCACUUCUUUAUUUCUUAAGCUUUUACAUAAUCCUCUGAAAUCUUUGCUACAUUAGUUUACCACACUUAGGACUAACCUGAUUUUCAAAUUUCCAUUUUGGCUAAGAUUUACAGCAAUGUUUUAAGAGAUUGCUGUAAAAGCAAAAAAGGAAUAUUAACCUUCCCCCCCCACCCCCUUUCUACUGAGGAUGCAGGAGAAAAGAACUCUAGGUACUAUAGGCAGGUAAAGUUUGAAUCUGUCCUAUUACACUCCAGUUUCUCAGCUAGUGUAAAUUGGCAUAACUUUAUUGACUUCAGUGAAGCUACAUAAAUUUAUAGCAACACCAGCUGAGGUUCACAACCAUUUUCUUGUACUCAGAUUUUGUGUUUGCACUGCUUAUAGUUGAAUUUGUGUUCUGUAUCAUUACACUAGAAGUGAACAAAUAACUUCCUGUCUUCUUAAAACUGCAUGUAAAUACAUCGUGUUCAGUAAAACCCGCAAAAGAUCAAUAAGGGUUAAUACACUUUAAAGUGGUUUGAGAUCCAGUAAACCAAAGUCUCUGAUAAUUCGUUACUGUGUACAGGGAAAAAAAUCAAAUAAAAUGGAAAGUAAAUGUAAUCCAUUCUCACUUCCUAAUUUUCUUUUAAUAUACCAUUUCAUGAUUCAAU